CAUGCAAGUCGAGGGGCAGCGAGAUUGAAGCUUGCUUCAAUUGUCGGCGACCGGCGGACGGGUGCGUAACGCGUAUGCAACCUACCCAUAACAGGGGGAUAACACUGAGAAAUUGGUACUAAUACCCCAUAACAUCUCGAGUGGCAUCACUUGGGGUUGAAAGCUUCGGUGGUUAUGGAUGGGCAUGCGUUGUAUUGGCUAGUUGGAGAGGUAACGGCUCACCAAGGCGACGAUACAUAGGGGGACUGAGAGGUUAACCCCCCACAUUGGUACUGAGACACGGACCAAACUCCUACGGGAGGCAGCAGUGAGGAAUAUUGGUCAAUGGACGGAAGUCUGAACCAGCCAUGCCGCGUGCAGGAUGACGGCUCUAUGAGUUGUAAACUGCUUUUGUACGAGGGUAAACCCGAAUACGUGUAUUCGGCUGAAAGUAUCGUACGAAUAAGGAUCGGCUAACUCCGUGCCAGCAGCCGCGGUAAUACGGAGGAUCCAAGCGUUAUCCGGAUUUAUUGGGUUUAAAGGGUGCGUAGGCGGUCAGAUAAGUUAGAGGUGAAAUUCCGGUGCUUAACACCGGCGCUGCCUCUAAUACUGUUUGACUAGAGAGUAGUUGCGGUAGGCGGAAUGUAUGGUGUAGCGGUGAAAUGCUUAGAGAUCAUACAGAACACCGAUUGCGAAGGCAGCUUACCAAGCUAUAUCUGACGUUGAGGCACGAAAGCGUGGGGAGCAAACAGGAUUAGAUACCC
rnacentral:rRNA from 1 species